CUGAUGUGAAAUGGUUCCUUUAAGUCCUCAUCACUAGUUCCAGGUAUAAAAGAAGGAAUAUAUCUUGGUCCACCACCAAAAGAAAAGCUUCCUAAGAAUUCUCCACAAGGAU